rnacentral:rRNA from 1 species
CUACGGGAGGCAGCAGUGGGGAAUCUUGGACAAUGGGGGAAACCCUGAUCCAGCCAUGCCGCGUGAAUGAUGAAGGCCUUAGGGUUGUAAAAUUCUUUCAGCGGGGAAGAUAAUGACGGUACCCGCAGAAGAAGCCCCGGCUAACUCCGUGCCAGCAGCCGCGGUAAUACGGAGGGGGCUAGCGUUGUUCGGAAUUACUGGGCGUAAAGCGCACGUAGGCGGCUCGGAAAGUCAGAGGUGAAAGCCCGGGGCUCAACCCCGGAAUAGCCUUUGAAACUAUCGAGCUAGAGUCCAGGAGAGGUGAGCGGAAUUCCGAGUGUAGAGGUGAAAUUCGUAGAUAUUCGGAGGAACACCAGAGGCGAAGGCGGCUCACUGGACUGGUACUGACGCUGAGGUGCGAAAGCGUGGGGAGCAAACAGGAUUAGAUACCCGUGUAGUCC